rnacentral:piRNA from 1 species
UCCGUGAUUGGUAUCUUUUUC